AACUGUAUGUAGUAUUUGCAAUCGGUUGUACACGAACUUUGCUACAUUACCGGUAAAACUAUUUUUAUUGUCAGUCAUUAAUUUUUAGUGUUUGGGUAUAUUUGUGAUAAUUUAGUUUACUUUGGAGAUUUGGGGUACUACUGUGCACGGAUGGGCAGAGACUCAGCAUGUGCUAAAUGAGCGUAAGUGAUCGUAUACGUACAUAAACGGAUUGUUUAACACAAGCAAACGAAGAGUGAAAGACGCGCACUGAGGAUCAGAAAUCGAUUUGUUCUGAAUACCACUUUGCGAUUACGAUUACACAGUUUUCGAACAUGAAAUCAGAGCCAUAUAGUAUGUUCUAGAAAUCGUUUUCGCAAAUUUUUGGAUAUUUUGAUAUCAGUGAGCAAAAAGUGCGGGAAAUUAUUGAAAUUUCUUUUCUAAUUUUAGGGCAAAACAUAAACGUCUAACUGAGGAAAAAAAUUUUAAAUUUUAUUUGCCAAAUUCGGACUUGGCAAAAAACUUUGUGAAAGAAGAUCGUGUAGCUGCGGUGGCAAAAAGAUAUUAACGGCUGAAAAAAGUAUGGUCCGAUUGGAAAGGCUGCAUCGGGAAGAAAAUCCCACACAACAAUUGCGAAAGCAGAGCUACUGAGGAGGAUAAUUCAACAUAUUUUUGCUAACCCCCAAUGAGGAAGAUGUAGCUCAAAUUUGCGGAAUUUAUACGUCCGUGAAGACAUCUCAAAUUGCUCUUCAUUUGGGGUUAACAUCCAUAUUGUUGAUGACGUCAGCAAUUUUUUGGGCGCCAUGCUUCCAAGUACUGAUGAAAUUUCUAGCGGCGGGGCAAAG